CACACUGACGUCUCGAUAUGUAAGAGC
rnacentral:sRNA from 1 species